AUGCUCACUUCGGCAGCACAUACACUAAAAUUGGAACAAUACACAGAAGAUUAGCAUGGCCCCUCUGCAAGGAUGAUAUGCAAAUACACGAAGCAUUCCAUUUUUGU
ensembl:snRNA U6 U6 spliceosomal RNA